AUGUACAUUCCUACAACAUAAUGUUAAUGCAUUGGAUCCCAUUAGAACUUCAUAGUUAAGCGUUCUUGGGCUAGAGUAGUAUUGGGAUGGGUGACCGCCUGGGAAGUCCUAGUAUUUUACAUG
rnacentral:rRNA from 1 species